rnacentral:rRNA from 1 species
GGCGGACGGGUGAGUAAUGCAUCGGGACCUACCUGAACGUGGGGGAUAACGUAGGGAAACUUACGCUAAUACCGCAUACGUCCUACGGGAGAAAGCGGGGGACCUUCGGGCCUCGCGCGGUCAGACGGACCGAUGUUCGAUUAGCUAGUUGGUAAGGUAAUGGCUUACCAAGGCGACGAUCGAUAGCUGGUCUGAGAGGAUGAUCAGCCACACUGGAACUGAGACACGGUCCAGACUCCUACGGGAGGCAGCAGUGGGGAAUAUUGGACAAUGGGCGCAAGCCUGAUCCAGCAAUGCCGCGUGUGUGAAGAAGGCCUUCGGGUUGUAAAGCACUUUUAUCGGGAACGAAAUACCAUUGGUUGAUAACCGGUGGGGCUGACGGUACCCGAGGAAUAAGCACCGGCUAACUUCGUGCCAGCAGCCGCGGUAAUACGAAGGGUGCAAGCGUUAAUCGGAAUUACUGGGCGUAAAGGGUGCGUAGGCGGUUAGUUAAGUCUGUUGUGAAAUCCCCGGGCUC